UUGAGAUCAAAUUACGCAUCAUUUUCAUUGUUCAAAACAAAUUACUUGAUGGAUGUUUAUACAAAUGAAAGGUGUGGAAAACAUAUUCUAGAUACUAUUUGGGUAUUUACCAGUAAUUCGAUGGCUUGAUGCUGGAAGGCCGUUUUAUCUUACGGUUAAUAAUGCAAAUUUUUAAAACACAUGCGAAGGAUUUAAUUGUUUCUAUGUAAAGUUUUUAAAAUGAUUCAUAUCUUGGACGCAUUAAUUUGGAAAAAAGUUAAAUUCUUCCAAAUAUCAAAGGAGAAGUGGAAUAUACCAAAGGUAUAUUCAAACUCAUGAUAUUCGAAGACAAACUAACAACGCCCCAAAAAACGAAAAACAACCGAAUGAUAAACAAGUCUACACAGUAC
rnacentral:lncRNA from 1 species